UUGAGGUGACUGAGUGGCGGACGGGUGAGUAACGCGUGGGUAACCUACCCUAUACAGGGGGAUAACAGUUGGAAACGACUGCUAAUACCGCAUAAGCGCACAGGACCGCAUGGUCUAGUGUGAAAAACUCCGGUGGUAUAGGAUGGACCCGCGUCUGAUUAGCUAGUUGGUGAGGUAACGGCUCACCAAGGCGACGAUCAGUAGCCGACCUGAGAGGGUGACCGGCCACAUUGGGACUGAGACACGGCCCAAACUCCUACGGGAGGCAGCAGUGGGAAUAUUGCACAAUGGGCGAAAGCCUGAUGCAGCGACGCCGCGUGAACGAAGAAGUAUUUCGGUAUGUAAAGUUCUAUCAGCAGGGAAGAAAAAUGACGGUACCUGACUAAGAAGCUCCGGCUAAAUACGUGCCAGCCGCGGC
rnacentral:rRNA from 1 species